rnacentral:tRNA from 1 species
UCCCUCAUAGCUCAGUUGGUAAAGAAUCUGUCUGCAAUGCAGAAGACCCAGGGUCAAUACCUGGGGCAGGAA